rnacentral:rRNA from 1 species
GACGAACGCUGGCGGCGUGCUUAACACAUGCAAGUCGAACGUGAUUUUUGUGGAAAUUCUUUCGGGAAUGGAAAUGAAAUGAAAGUGGCGAACGGGUGAGUAACACGUGAGCAACCUACCUUACACAGGGGGAUAGCCGUUGGAAACGACGAUUAAUACCGCAUGAGACCACAGAAUCGCAUGAUAUAGGGGUCAAAGAUUUAUCGGUGUAAGAAGGGCUCGCGUCUGAUUAGCUAGUUGGAAGGGUAAAGGCCUACCAAGGCGACGAUCAGUAGCCGGUCUGAGAGGAUGAACGGCCACAUUGGAACUGAGACACGGUCCAAACUCCUACGGGAGGCAGCAGUGGGGAAUAUUGCACAAUGGGGGGAACCCUGAUGCAGCGACGCCGCGUGAGCGAAGAAGGUUUUCGAAUCGUAAAGCUCUGUCCUAUGAGAAGAUAANGACGNU